rnacentral:rRNA from 1 species
GUGGGGAAUCUUAGACAAUGGGGGAAACCCUGAUCUAGCCAUGCCGCGUGAGCGAUGAAGGCCUUAGGGUUGUAAAGCUCUUUCAGCUGGGAAGAUAAUGACUGUACCAGCAGAAGAAGCCCCGGCUAACUCCGUGCCAGCAGCCGCGGUAAUACGGAGGGGGCUAGCGUUGUUCGGAAUUACUGGGCGUAAAGCGCACGUAGGCGGACCGGAAAGUCAGAGGUGAAAUCCCAGGGCUCAACCUUGGAACUGCCUUUGAAACUCCUGGUCUUGAGGUCGAGAGAGGUGGGUGGAAUUCCGAGUGUAGAGGUGAAAUUCGUAGAUAUUCGGAGGAACACCAGUGGCGAAGGCGGCUCACUGGCUCGAUACUGACGCUGAGGUGCGAAAGCGUGGGGAGCAAACAGGAUUAGAAACCCGUGUAGUCC